AGACGAUGAAGGGCGUGGAACCGACGAUACGCUUCGGGGAGUUGGAAACAAACUUUGAUCCGAAGAUUCCCGAAUGGGGCAACCCUAUAAACUUCUUACUGAAUUCAUAGGUAAGAAAGAGAAAACUUAGUGAACUGAAACAUCUUAGUAGCUAAAGGAAGAGAAAGCAAACGCGAUUCCCUGAGUAGUGGCGAGCGAAAUGGG
rnacentral:rRNA from 1 species